CAUAAAUCAGAACCAACAACUCUCAACCUUCAGGCUGUAGCCCGAGAAGUGUCCAUGCUCCGACAGUGUGCACUCUCUUCUGUGUCUCGUGGAAGAAUUUUUUGAAAUUUCUCUAUGAUGAACAUGUGGAGUGAAGACAGAAAUGAAAGGAUAAGAUCCUUCAGGAUUUCAGCUUUUAUAAAGCAUCAGAAAUUGAAGAGUAAAGUGAGCUUUUGAGGCCAUUACAAAACAAGCACUGAGUUCCAAACAAGCAUCAAGCGCCAAACAAAACAACCUAAUUCGUCCUCAAGAUUUGGGGCCUCUUAUUCCUUCAAAAGAACAAACACAUCUAUUUAGUGGUUAAGAGUCC